GUGCGGGUCCUGUGCAACAAAGCACCGUGAACCAUGUCAGGCGGGGGACCGAGCAGCAUUAAGCGGAUCGUUUUGUGUGCCGCAGUCAACCUGCACACC
rfam:Ruminococcus sp. CAG:254 genomic scaffold, scf339